UCAGGUGAUGCGCCUUGGCCUCCCAAAGUGUUGGGAUUACAGGCGUGAGCCACUGCACCUGGCCAUUACCUUUGUUUCACGAAUGAGUUAGGCUGUGGCAACUAGACUAGGGCGACCCCCCACACCCUCCCCCUAGAGCUGGUCACAGGCAGAGCUGAGCUUGAACUUGGGCUUCACACCUGUGUUCACACGCACCACUUGUCAUUGCCUGUGACUUUGCUGUCUCUCCUCCUCAUCUUUCAAACACUCCCUGGAGCCAUUUAGUGCCUAGAUGAUGCGUGUUUUUAUACCAGCCACUCUACUCAAAAGCAAAAUCUGUUUGAAAGCUGUGUUACAGGUUCUUCCAGAACUUCCAGUUUUUAAGACUGUCUUCCCCUUGCUGCAGCUUCCUUUGUACCAUGCAGCCACUAGCUCCGAAGGGACCUCCUGCCAGGGAAUUUGAUUCCUUGUAUAGAGCCCUUCUGUUGACCGCUGACCUCAGGGCUAGGUCCCCAAAAUGUCGCCUCUCUGUGAUCAUUUCGGCAAAGUAGCAACAGGUCAGUUAGGAUGUGGAUUUUCUCACUCUCUCAAAGGUUCUUUUAUUUAAAUAUGUUCAUACAUUUUUCUCCUGCCGCUCUCUUUCCUGAAAGAAUGAAGUUAGAGGAUUAGGUUGCUAAAUUUAGCUCUUGCUGACGCACUGGCCUCUCACUAGCAGUCUCCUCGUGUCUCAGUGUUUCUCUAAGCCUCGCUUUUUUGCUGGUAGACGCACACCAUCACAUCCUACAUAAUAUUUAGCUCUGAGGCGUUUCCAGAUGGGAAGUGCGUUUCUGUAUUUUCAUAGCCGUGUUCUCUACGUGAAUGGACUGGCGUGAAGCUGGGGGCUGACGGCUGGCAGGGCAGAACAACUUCCAGUAAAAGAAGGCACUGAGGAUUAAAUGCUACGUGGGAGCAGUUGCUGAUUUUUGCAAUGGGAGGCUGCAUAGAUUCAAGGACUUCCUCAGGUGCUCCAGGAGCUUGUCAUUCCAGAGGCAGAGCAGCCCAGAAGUCCUGCGAUUUACACCUCCAGUAGAAACCCUCAACCAGAGAAGGAUGGAAGUCAAUGGGUAGGUUGGGAAGCUCCAUUCUGUAUCAUCCUCACUCAAGGACCUGGACUGAAGGAUUUCUGCUUUCGAGAAGAAAAAAAAAAGAAGACAUGUUUACUAAUACACUGCUAUGCCAUCUGGGA